CGGCAGCACGGGAGCAAUCCUGGUGGCGAGUGGCGAACGGGUGAGUAAAGUAUCGGAGCGUGCCCAGUCGUGGGGGAUAACGUAGCGAAAGUUACGCUAAUACCGCAUACGAUCUAUGGAUGAAAGCGGGGGAUCGCAAGACCUCGCGCGAUUGGAGCGGCCGAUAUCAGAUUAGGUAGUUGGUGGGGUAAAGGCUCACCAAGCCGACGAUCUGUAGCUGGUCUGAGAGGACGACCAGCCACACUGGGACUGAGACACGGCCCAGACUCCUACGGGAGGCAGCAGUGGGGAAUUUUGGACAAUGGGCGCAAGCCUGAUCCAGCCAUGCCGCGUGCAGGAUGAAGGCCUUCGGGUUGUAAACUGCUUUUGUACGGAAUGAAAAGGUUUGGCCUAAUACGUUGAACUCAUGACGGUACCGUAAGAAUAAGCACCGGCUAACUACGUGCCAGCAGCCGCGGUAAUACGUAGGGUGCGAGCGUUAAUCGGAAUUACUGGGCGUAAAGCGUGCGCAGGCGGUUAUGUAAGACAGAUGUGAAAUCCCCGGGCUCAACCUGGGAACUGCAUUAGUGACUGCAUAGCUGGAGUACGGCAGAGGGGGAUGGAAUUCCGCGUGUAGCAGUGAAAUGCGUAGAUAUGCGGAGGAACACCGAUGGCGAAGGCAAUCCCCUGGGCCUGUACUGACGCUCAUG
rnacentral:rRNA from 1 species